rnacentral:rRNA from 1 species
UGGUAGGGCAUAAAUACCCUAAAGGCACCAGAUUAUGUCUAAUCUUAGAAACUAAGCAAGGUCAGUCCUGGUUUGUACUUGGAUGGGAGGCCACCAACAAAUACCAGGUGUUGUAAGUU